CUCUUUUUGAAUAUAAUUUAAAGUAGGGCCUGCCCACUGAAUUUUGAAGGGCCGCAGUAUAUUGACUGUGCAAAGGUAGCAUAAUCAUUAGUUUUUUAAUUGAAAGCUGGAAUGAAGGGUUUGAUGAGAAAAUUUCUGUUUCUAUUUUAAUAAAAGAAUUUUAUUUUUAAGUUAAAAAGCUUAAAUAUUUUUUAAAGACGAGAAGACCCUAUAGAGUUUAACUGAAAAUUAAAAUUUUAAAUUUAAGAAUUAAAUUUUAAAAUUUUAAAUUAAGUUUUGUUGGGGUGACAGAAAAAUUAAUUUAACUUUUUUUUUAUUUUUACAAUAAUAUUUGAUUAUUUGAUCCAUAUAAAUGAUUAAAAGAUUAAAUUACCUUAGGGAUAACAGCGUAAUUUUUUUUAAAAGUUCAAAUUUAAAGAAAAGAUUGCGACCUCGAUGUUGGAUUAAAAUUAAUUUUUGGUGCAGAAGCUAAAAAAUUGGGUCUGUUCGACCUUUAAAAUUUUACAUGAUCUGAGUUUAAACCGGUGUGAGCCAGGUUGGUUUCUAUCUUAAAGAAAAGAGAAUAUUCUAGUACGAAAGGAUCGAUUAUUUUAUUAAUAAUAUUUAAAUGAAUAAAAUUUUUAUUUUGGCAGAAUAGUGCGAAGGAUUUAGAAUCUUUUUAUGUAAUUAAUUACAAAUAAAAAUUGAUUUUUUAUUAAUUUUGGUAAAUUUUUUAAUUUUAUUUAUUGGAGUUUUAGUAGGUGUAGCAUUUUUAACUUUAUUAGAACGAAAAUUAUU
rnacentral:rRNA from 1 species